rnacentral:lncRNA from 1 species
CUUUAAAAGGAAAGUUCUAGUCUAAAACAGAAAAAAAACUAUUGUAAAAAUUCUUAUUUGAUUGGAAUUAUACCAACUUAGCCUCAAGUUUCUAUUUGGUUUCCAAAACAUGAGAGGAAAACCAAUUUUGAAGUGCCUUUGUUCCUUUGUUUUCUAAAUGUGUACUUCAUUAGUGCAAUAAACAAUGAUGUGCAAUUACAGAAC